AUACGGAGGGUGCAAGCGUUAUCCGGAUUCACUGGGUUUAAAGGGAGCGUAGGUGGGUUGGUAAGUCAGUGGUGAAAUCUCCGAGCUUAACUUGGAAACUGCCAUUGAUACUAUCAGUCUUGAAUACUGUGGAGGUAAGCGGAAUAUAUCAUGUAGCGGUGAAAUGCUUAGAUAUGAUAUAGAACACCGAUAGCGAAGGCAGCUUACUACGCAGUUAUUGACACUGAGGCUCGAAAGCGUGGGGAUCAAACAGGAUUAGAUACCCUGGUAGUCCACGCCCUAAACUAUGGAUACUCGACAUCAGCGAUACACAGUUGGUGUCUGAGCGAAAGCAUUAAGUAUCCCACCUGGGAAGUACGUCCGCAAGGAUGAA
rnacentral:rRNA from 1 species